GAGUCCUUUCAUAUUUUCCCACUGCUUUCUUGAACUUGAUUUGUUGUCUGUAUGUGGAUCUAUAUCUAUGGAAAAGCUCAAGAAAGCUGUGGGAAAACAUGAAACGAGUC
rnacentral:pre_miRNA from 1 species